GCGCAACCACAGGAUUCCUCGCGGAAGUGACGGCAAGGCGGCGAUGGCGGCUCGCAGUUUCAUUCCGGAUUUCCACUGGACUACAAGCUGAUUUUAACCGGACCGGUUAGACUUUGUGGAACUUUUGUUAAGCUGUCUCUCUUCGGACGCCGCACAGAGUGAAGUCGCGUUGAACCGGUGCUUGACAACAAGCGGCCCCACAGCUUUUUUGGGGUAUUUUUGUCCAAGGUUCAAGGUGGUCACCCUGUCGAGCUAGCGGUAGCUUGGUGGCUACAAGCUAACGUUAAAUGGUAUACAGCUAGCUCAUGAGCUAGCUUGUCGACGAGCUGCGCGCUAAGGUCCAUACAGCAGCAGUCGUCUUGCAGCAGCUUUUCUUUUGACGACGUCCACGUUUGUUUCAAAGUUACAAUGCGAAUGUAUUCUAUUUAAUGCUAAUUGUGCCACAAGUGUGCAGAGCGAGGUACUCACACGUUUGCUUGGCCUCUUGUUAAUUUGAAUUGCUAGUUUGGCGGCUUUGGCUAAAGACGAAUUUUGACUAUUACUAGCAAGCAAGUUCCUUAAGUAAUUAUCCCAACAAUUUCCGACAAAAGCGUGCAAUCAACUGAGAAUUGAAGUUGAGUUACUGUGGGGUCUUUGCGUGCUCGUCAACAUGCUGAAGACCCGGCAAUGUUUACUUGGCAUCCGCACUUUUCUCGGAGUAACAUCGAGAAUAUGGGGCUUCAUUAUGUACAUCCUCAGGAAGCACCUACGAACGAUAAUCCAGUAUCAGACGGUGCGAUACGACACUUUGCCUCUUUCGCCUAUCUCCAGAAACAGACUCAAUGCAGUAAAGAGGAAGAUUCUGGUUUUGGACCUGGACGAGACGCUGAUCCACUCUCACCAUGACGGGGUCCUCAGACCCACAGUGAGACCUGGCACGCCGCCAGACUUCAUCCUCAAAGUUGUCAUUGACAAGCACCCAGUCAGAUUCUUCGUACAUAAAAGGCCACAUGUUGACUUCUUUUUAGAAGUGGUGAGCCAGUGGUAUGAGCUGGUGGUUUUUACAGCCAGUAUGGAGAUCUAUGGAUCAGCUGUGGCAGACAAGCUUGACAACAACAGGAACAUCCUUAAACGCAGAUACUACAGACAGCAUUGUACAUUGGAUUUAGGUAGUUAUAUUAAAGACCUAUCUGUAGUACACGAUGACCUGUCCAGUAUUGUCAUCCUGGACAAUUCGCCUGGUGCUUAUCGUAGCCAUCCAGACAAUGCAAUACCCAUCAAGUCCUGGUUCAGCGACCCUAGUGACACAGCACUUCUUAACUUGCUGCCUAUGCUGGAUGCACUAAGACAAUCUCGUCGUAGGACCCAGCAUACUAGCAGCAUGGCUAAAUGCUAGCACCAUGGAGAACACAAUGGAAACACAAACGGGCGACACACCCACACCGCCGCACAACCCUGCGGCUAACCGCCGCAACGCCGGAUCCUAUGUGAAUGCCGGCUAAAGAUGCCCCAUCUACACUACCCUACAAUGUUCACUGCUGAUGUGCGCUCCGUCCUCAGUCGAAACCUCCACCAGCACCGACUUUGGUGAUUGGCUGAAUCAAGAGGGGUGGGGCUUGUUGACCAGCCUCUUCCUCUCUAUCGGCUUCCAUCCUGCUCUCCGUUCCCACACAGACGACCCACCAGCCCUCUCUGAGCCUCUCGGACGUGUCCUGAUGAGAUGAGCGUUGGGGUGACCGCCUAACAUGGGAUGAACAGUACGGGAUCACCAGAGCCCAGAAACUACUGAGGAGGGUGGGGUGGUGGGGGGGGCAGCAGCAGCUUUUUUCUUGAUUCUUUAUUUGUAUUUUUUUUCUUUUCAUUUUUUUUUUUCCCCAAAACAAAACGGAGCCUCUCUGCCUUAUUGCUCCUGAUACUGACUGUGUGCAUAUGGGGGUAAGCUUGUGUACGUUGAGUCAGAGUAUGCUUGCUGAGUUCAUUAGUCCUUUUUAAACUG